rnacentral:lncRNA from 1 species
AUAAGUAAAUAAUAACAGGACUGUAUUUUCCACAGAAAUGGAGGGAAACGGACAAUGCAGUUCAGACUUAAAAGACAUCUAUGUUCCAUCCUCACCUCAACCAGAAUUAGAAGUAAAAUGGCACUAUGGGUGAAAGCCCACACUGAUGAUUUUCUCCUUUUGCAUAAAAGAAGAUUUCUCUCUUCCUUCUCUGUUUUACCAGAAAUAAUUCCCACAUUAACAUUUUACUGUUAAACAUUCUUUUCUGGUUUCUUUAUUCUGUCUAUUAAGCUAUGUCUAUUUGCAUUGAACUUUGUCUGCCAAUUAUAAAUCUAAAUUGACAAACCUGAAUUAUGAGAGUCUUCUUUUGUAAUAAUGAGUCCAUUUUUUAAUAUCAAGCUUUAAUCUUUUCCUCACUUGAAUUUAAAUAAAUCAUCUAAUCAAACCA